UGGGGAAUUUUGGACAAUGGGCGAAAGCCUGAUCCAGCAAUGCCGCGUGUGUGAAGAAGGCCUUCGGGUUGUAAAGCACUUUUGUCCGGAAAGAAAUCCUUGGCUCUAAUACAGUCGGGGGAUGACGGUACCGGAAGAAUAAGCACCGGCUAACUACGUGCCAGCAGCCGCGGUAAUACGUAGGGUGCAAGCGUUAAUCGGAAUUACUGGGCGUAAAGCGUGCGCAGGCGGUUUGCUAAGACCGAUGUGAAAUCCCCGGGCUCAACCUGGGAACUGCAUUGGUGACUGGCAGGCUAGAGUAUGGCAGAGGGGGGUAGAAUUCCACGUGUAGCAGUGAAAUGCGUAGAGAUGUGGAGGAAUACCGAUGGCGAAGGCAGCCCCCUGGGCCAAUACUGACGCUCAUGCACGAAAGCGUGGGGAGCAAACAGGCUUAGAUACCCUGGUAGUCCACGCCCUAAACGAUGUCAACUAGUUGUUGGGGAUUCAUUUCCUUAGUAACGUAGCUAACGCGUGAAGUUGACCGCCUGGGGAGUACGGUCGCAAGAUUAAAACUUAAAUGAAUUGACGGGGUCAUAGCUGUUUCCU
rnacentral:rRNA from 1 species